AGUUCUGGACUUGGCACCCAAAUAUGCAGCAUUUCUCAACUCCAUCUCCAACGUUUUGUUUACCUCAUCUGGCAUCGUGACCCCAACAUUGGUAGGAUUUGUGGUGACCACUCACAGUAAAGCACAAUGGGAUAUUUGCUUCAUCAUGUUCGGCAGCAUUAAUCUACUUGUGGGCCUAAUUUUCUUACAUUACGGGUCUGGGGAACUUCAACCAUGGGCCAACUAUACUGGAAAACGUUCACGUGUCGAGGAUAUCAGAAGAACUCAUUGAAAUUUAUGACGUUAAAAAUAAACUGUACAAUCGGUUUUACAAUUUUUUUUUGUAAUAAUUUCUAAUUAAAUUUUAUCGGAACCUG